rnacentral:rRNA from 1 species
GCCGCGGUAACUCCAGCUCCAAUAGCGUAUAUUAAAGUUGUUGCGGUUAAAAAGCUCGUAGUUGGAUUUCAGUUUUCGGCCGGGCUCCUUCCCGUUCAAAUACGGGCGGCGAAGGGGCCUUUGGAUCGUUGGUGUCAAAGCCGCGGUCUUUUAACGGUCGGACUAUACCACCGGAGUGGGAUUGGUGGCGCCCGUCGCUUCGCUUCGGCGUUCGCGGCGGUGCGCGGUCGCCCGCAUUUUACUGACUGGGGUGCCUUUAACCGGGUGUCCCAGCCAGCCGGUUACGUUUACUUUGAACAAAUUAGAGUGCUCAAAGCAGGUGCAUUUUCGCCUGAAUAUCACAGCAUGGAAUGAUGGAAUAGGACCUCGGUCUUAUUUUGUUGGUUUUUCUAGACCCGAGGUAAUGGUUAAUAGA